GAGUCUGAAGCUGGAGGACACUGAGGACGCUCUGUCUAAACUCAAGCACAAAUCAGACGAUCUGGAGGGCGGAGUCGCACUGGGCCUGCGGCAGCUCCACCUGCUCUCCUCAGAGGUGAGCGAGAGGCUAAACUCAACAGAGGGGGCGCUGCAGCGGCUCCAGGAACAGGCAC